UACGAGGGGGGCAAGCGUUGUUCGGAAUUAUUGGGCGUAAAGGGUGCGUAGGCGGUUUGGUAAGUCUGAUGUGAAAUCUAUGGGCUCAACUCAUAGUCUGCAUGAGAAACUGCCGGGCUUGAGUAUGGGAGAGGUGAGUGGAAUUCCUGGUGUAGCGGUGAAAUGCGUAGAUAUCAGGAGGAACACCUGUGGCGAAAGCGGCUCACUGGACCAUAACUGACGCUGAUGCACGAAAGCUAGGGAGCAAACAGG
rnacentral:rRNA from 1 species